UACGGAGGGUGCAAGCGUUAAUCGGAAUUACUGGGCGUAAAGCGAGUGUAGGCGGUUACGUGUGUCGGAUGUGAAAGCCCCGGGCUCAACCUGGGAAUUGCAUUCGAAACUGCGUGACUAGAAUAUGUUAGAGGAAGACGGAAUUCCACGUGUAGCGGUGAAAUGCGUAGAUAUGUGGAGGAACACCAAUGGCGAAGGCAGUCUUCUGGGACAAUAUUGACGCUGAGGCUCGAAAGCGUGGGUAGCAAACAGG
rnacentral:rRNA from 1 species